CCAGAAUUGUGGGUAUCCUUUUUUCCUCCCCAGUCUUACAUCUCAAUUACGGAAAUGGCGAAGUCCUGGGGGCAGAUAUUUGGAAGAACAGAAAUGAUAAGACCCUUUGGCAGACAUAUGGGUGGACGCUUUGGAGAACCAUCAAGAUGGUGAAUUCUUUGGAUCCAUGGGAGGAUUUGAGGGGUUUAGGAAGCUGGUUUUUCAGUGACUCUCUGGGGCUCCAGGGUUCAACUGCAGCUCAAAUAAGUGAAAAUCAACCAUUUAUGGGAGCACUAAUUUCAGAUUUCCUUCACAGCUGCCAAAAACAAUUCGUCUGAUAGAAAAGGAGUUGGGGAAGAAAUCCUCUAUAAGAACUAAGAGUACCUCUUUGCCUCAUUAUAUUCUUAUAUGCAUCUCUGGAGAACUGAGCAAGGUGGGAAGAAUUCAGGAAGAUGGUGGAGGCUAAAAUAUGAGAGUAACUGGAAACAACCUCUAGGGCAACUACCACUAACUUUAAACUGGAAGUCUCUCUUCUGAGCCCUAAUAGAUCUAAAGCAAGAAGUGUGCAUUCCAGUUUGACUGCAGUUUGAGAAUUGAGUAAAAGGAUAGCCAAUAAACUCAAAAAGUAUUAAAACCAAACAUGGAGUUACUAAGUGAAAGCAACAGACUGAGGCGUGAAGAACAAACAGUGGCCACAGGUCUUCUUUUCCCAGGGUGAAAGGCCCCUCUUCCAGCACCUUUCUCAGGUGGGUCAUAGCCCUCAUGGCUGGACAGCCACUUCCUCAUUGACGCCAACCGGCUUGCCUACAAGUCUGCUGUGCCAGUGGAGGAGCCCCGAAGACCAUCCCAGGAUGAUGCACCCCAUAAGAGUACAGCCUUGCAGGGGCUACAGCCACCCACAGUGCACCUGUGUCUUUGCCAGCCCCCUGCAGCUGCAUAGACACCAUGCAUCACACUCAGACCUCAAACUCUUCAUGUGCGGCACCUUGGGCAAGGAUUUCAAGCUCUUCCACCACACUGCACAUCUGUCCUCAGUGCUCACGUGACUUCCAGACCUCUGCCAAGUUCCAGACCCUGCCUGCACUGCCCUUCUCCAGGCCACCACAUCUAUCCCAUGCUGUGCCAUUCCCACACACGCUCUGUGAGUACUGGCUUUGCGGAUAUUACUGCCUUAUUCUGGGCCUGAGUUUCUCCAUCUGUCCAAAGGCAGAAGCAUCACUCCUUUUUCCUCUUUUCCAGUUGUGUGAUGAAGACAAAAGGGGUUGCCUUCCCUGAGCCUGUGGACUGGGUGAAUAGGAGUUAAAGCAGGGAACACAGGCCUGUGAGCCAGCUGUGCUUCCCAUCCAGCUGUGCUGUGCUAGCUUUUGCAAGUGGCUUGGUUUCCUGCUCUCCCAAGUGGCGAGCAAUUGUUGUCCAGAAGAAAGUGAUAACAAAAGAGUAUGGCCAUGGUCUGGUUCAUUUCUGUUUCCUCACCCUUAGCCCACUACUCCCACCUUUUGCUCAAUAAACACUGCAUACUCCAAAACAAACAAAAGCAAAACAACAACAACAACAACAACAUACACAUAAACAAUCCUGUUGGAAUAUUGGAGGGAUGAAGCUGAAACUAUGGUUUAAGUGGGGCCUGCUCCUUAUGGGUCUUCUAUGCUUGAAGAUGUUGGGGAAUACCUUUAUUUCAGAACUGUCACCUUCCUACAGGUCUGGAGUGAUCGUGUUGGAAAACUAAAGGUCUGGUUCUUUUCAUGGUCCUCCUCAGAUUUUUUCAAGCUGAUGACCUUUUGAAAAAAACUGAGAAAACUGCUGUUGAAAUAAGCACGAAGAAGAAAAGAGUGAUCAUCCAUUUUUAGAUGUGUUUACAGGCUGUAUGACUCAGUGUUGCUUCUGCUAAGAGCACUGAAUAUGUGGUCUUUUUUGGUACUGAGAUGCAAACACAGGAAACUUGUGGUCUAUGCUGCUUUCAGUGA
rnacentral:antisense_RNA from 1 species